rnacentral:rRNA from 1 species
ACUACGGGUGGCAGCAGUGAGGAAUAUUGGUCAAUGGACGCAAGUCUGAACCAGCCAUGCCGCGUGCAGGAAGACGGCUCUAUGAGUUGUAAACUGCUUUUGUACGAGAGUAAACGCAGCUACGCUUAUCUAUCUGACAGUAUCGUACGAAUAAGCAUCGGCUAACUCCGUGCCAGCAGCCGCGGUAAUACGGAGGAUUCCAGCGUUAUCCGGAUUUAUUGGGUUUAAAGGGGGCGGAGGCGGUCUGAUAAGGUAGAGGUUAAAUCCAGAGGAGCAACUUCGGAAUUGCCGCUGAUACUGUUCGUCUAGAGAGGAGUGGCGGUAGGCGGAAUGUAUGGUGUAGCGGUGAAAUGCUUAGAGAUCACACAGAACACCGAUUGCGAAGGCAGCUUACCAGGCUACUUCUGACGCUGAGGCACGAAAGCGUGGGGAGCGAACAGGAUUAGAUACCCCUGUAGUC